GGUGGGAGCUACCUGCAGUCGACGGUAGCACAGAGAGCUUGCUCUCGGGUGACGAGUGGCGGACGGGUGAGUAAUGUCUGGGAAACUGCCUGAUGGAGGGGGAUAACUACUGGAAACGGUAGCUAAUACCGCAUAACGUCGCAAGACCAAAGAGGGGGACCUUCGGGCCUCUUGCCAUCAGAUGUGCCCAGAUGGGAUUAGCUAGUAGGUGGGGUAACGGCUCACCUAGGCGACGAUCCCUAGCUGGUCUGAGAGGAUGACCAGCCACACUGGAACUGAAACACGGUCCAAACUCCUACGGGAGGCAGCAGUGGGGAAAUUUGCCCAUGGGGCGCAAGCCGGAUGCAGCCAUGCGGGGGGGAUACAUAGGGCCUACGGUUGUAAACCUUCUUUACCGGGAAAGAACUCGGUUAGAGACAUAAAAUUCUUCCGAAUGACCUUAACCCGCAAAAAAUAUACCGCGUUAAUUCCAUUCCUACCUUCCUCGAAUAUAUUGAUGGUGCAAGCUUUAAUCACGACUUACAGCGUCGUACACCUCACGACAGGCGGUUUGAUCACUCAGAUGUAAAAUUCCCCUCGCAUCAAUCCUGGUAACUUGCAUUCGAAAACUGGCCUAGGCUAGCACUCUUGGUAGAAGGCGGUAAGAAAUUCUUCAGCAGAAGCACUGUAAAUGCCUAACACAUCUUGGACCGAAUACCGCUAUGGCGUAAUGGCGGCCCUCCUGGACAAACCACUGAUCGACUCAAGUAGUCGAUAACCCUGGCGCAGCACAAAAGGAUUUAGAAAACCCUCGGUUAGUCCACCCCUGUAAAACGAUAGUCCAAAUAGAGGUAUGACUGCCCUUGAGGCGUGGCUUCCGGAGCUAACGCGUUAAGUCGACCGCCUGGGGAGUACGGCCGCAAGGUUAAAACUCAAAUGAAUUGACGGGGGCCCGCACAAGCGGUGGAGCAUGUGGUUUAAUUCGAUGCAACGCGAAGAACCUUACCUACUCUUGACAUCCAGAGAACUUAGCAGAGAUGCUUUGGUGCCUUCGGGAACUCUGAGACAGGUGCUGCAUGGCUGUCGUCAGCUCGUGUUGUGAAAUGUUGGGUUAAGUCCCGCAACGAGCGCAACCCUUAUCCUUUGUUGCCAGCGGUUAGGCCGGGAACUCAAAGGAGACUGCCAGUGAUAAACUGGAGGAAGGUGGGGAUGACGUCAAGUCAUCAUGGCCCUUACGAGUAGGGCUACACACGUGCUACAAUGGCGCAUACAAAGAGAAGCGACCUCGCGAGAGCAAGCGGACCUCAUAAAGUGCGUCGUAGUCCGGAUUGGAGUCUGCAACUCGACUCCAUGAAGUCGGAAUCGCUAGUAAUCGUGGAUCAGAAUGCCACGGUGAAUACGUUCCCGGGCCUUGUACACACCGCCCGUCACACCAUGGGAGUGGGUGCAAAAGAAGUAGGUAGCUUAACCUUCGGGAGGGCGCUACCACUUGUCAGGGUG
rnacentral:rRNA from 1 species